AAAUUGAAGAGUUUGAUCAUGGCUCAGAUUGAACGCUGGCGGCAGGCCUAACACAUGCAAGUCGAGCGGUAGCACAGAGAGCUUGCUCUCGGGUGACGAGCGGCGGACGGGUGAGUAAUGUCUGGGAAACUGCCUGAUGGAGGGGAUAACUACUGGAAACGGUAGCUAAUACCGCAUAAUGUCGCAAGACCAAAGUGGGGACCUUCGGGCCUCAUGCCAUCAGAUGUGCCCAGAUGGGAUUAGCUAGUAGGUGGGGUAACGGCUCACCUAGGCGACGAUCCUAGCUGGUCUGAGAGGAUGACCAGCCACACUGGAACUGAGACACGGUCCAGACUCCUACGGGAGGCAGCAGUGGGGAAUAUUGCACAAUGGGCGCAAGCCUGAUGCAGCCAUGCCGCGUGUGUGAAGAAGGCCUUCGGGUUGUAAAGCACUUUCAGCGGGGAGGAAGGCGUUAAGGUUAAUAACCUUGGCGAUUGACGUUACCCGCAGAAGAAGCACCGGCUAACUCCGUGCCAGCAGCCGCGGUAAUACGGAGGGUGCAAGCGUUAAUCGGAAUUACUGGGCGUAAAGCGCACGCAGGCGGUCUGUCAAGUCGGAUGUGAAAUCCCGGCUCAACCUGGGAACUGCAUUCGAAACUGGCAGGCUAGAGUCUUGUAGAGGGGGGUAGAAUUCCAGGUGUAGCGGUGAAAUGCGUAGAGAUCUGGAGGAAUACCGGUGGCGAAGGCGGCCCCCUGGACAAAGACUGACGCUCAGGUGCGAAAGCGUGGGGAGCAAACAGGAUUAGAUACCCUGGUAGUCCACGCCGUAAACGAUGUCGAUUUGGAGGUUGUGCCCUUGAGGCGUGGCUUCCGGAGCUAACGCGUUAAAUCGACCGCCUGGGGAGUACGGCCGCAAGGUUAAAACUCAAAUGAAUUGACGGGGGCCCGCACAAGCGGUGGAGCAUGUGGUUUAAUUCGAUGCAACGCGAAGAACCUUACCUGGUCUUGACAUCCACAGAACUUUCCAGAGAUGGAUUGGUGCCUUCGGGAACUGUGAGACAGGUGCUGCAUGGCUGUCGUCAGCUCGUGUUGUGAAAUGUUGGGUUAAGUCCCGCAACGAGCGCAACCCUUAUCCUUUGUUGCCAGCGGUUCGGCCGGGAACUCAAAGGAGACUGCCAGUGAUAAACUGGAGGAAGGUGGGGAUGACGUCAAGUCAUCAUGGCCCUUACGACCGGGCUACACACGUGCUACAAUGGCAUAUACAAAGAGAAGCGACCUCGCGAGAGCAAGCGGACCUCAUAAAGUAUGUCGUAGUCCGGAUUGGAGUCUGCAACUCGACUCCAUGAAGUCGGAAUCGCUAGUAAUCGUAGAUCAGAAUGCUACGGUGAAUACGUUCCCGGCCUUGUACACACCGCCCGUCACACCAUGGGAGUGGGUUGCAAAAGAAGUAGGUAGCUUAACCUUCGGGAGGGCGCUUACCACUUUGUGAUUCAUGACUGGGGUGAAGUCGUAACAAGGUAACCGUAGGGGAACCUGCGGUUGGAUCACCUCCUUACCUUAAAGAA
rnacentral:rRNA from 1 species